rnacentral:rRNA from 1 species
AGGCUUUGAUCCUGGCUCAGGACGAACGCUGGCGGCGUGCUUAACACAUGCAAGUCGAGCGAAGCACUUUGGACAGCUUGCUGCCUAAUUUGACUGAACGGCGAACGGGUGAGUAACACGUGGGUGAUCUGCCUGGAAGCCUGGGAUAACAGCUGGAAACGGCUGCUAAUACCGGAUGAAGUCUAUCAUUCGUUUGAUAGACCAAAGAAUUUCGCUUUCAGAUGAGCCCGCGUCCCAUUAGCUAGUUGGUGGGGUAAAGGCCUACCAAGGCGACGAUGGGUAGCCGGUCUGAGAGGAUGGUCGGCCACACUGGAACUGAGACACGGUCCAGACUCCUACGGGAGGCAGCAGUGGGGAAUUUUGCGCAAUGGGCGAAAGCCUGACGCAGCGACGCCGCGUGAGUGACGAAGGCCUUCGGGUUGUAAAGCUCUGUCGAGGGGGAAGAUAAUGAUGGUACCCUUCAAGAAAGCCCCGGCGUAAA